GACGAACGCUGGCGGCGUGCUUAACACAUGCAAGUCGAACGAUGAAGAAAAGAAUUGAAGCUUCGGCAGAAAUUCAUUUCGGAUUAGUGGCAGACGGGUGAGUAACGCGUGAGCAACCUACCUCUUACAAAGGGAUAGCCUCGGGAAACCGGGAUUAAUACCAUAUAACAUUGCGACGAAGCAUUUCGAUGCAAUCAAAGCUACGGCGGUAAGAGAUGGGCUCGCGUCCCAUUAACCAGAUGGUGAGGUAACGGCUCACCAUAGUAACGAUGGGUAACCGGCCUGAGAGGGUGAACGGUCACACUGGAGCUGAGACACAGUCCAGACUCCUACGGGAGGCAGCAGUGGGGAAUAGUGCACAAUGGAGGGAACUCUGAUGCAGCGACGCCGCGUGAGUGAUGAAGGAAUUCGUUUCGUAAAACUCUGUUCUAUGGGAAGAAAAGGACUGUACCAUAGGAGAAAGCUCCGGCUAAAUACGUG
rnacentral:rRNA from 1 species